rnacentral:rRNA from 1 species
UACGGAGGGUGCGAGCGUUGUCCGGAAUCACUGGGCGUAAAGGGCGCGUAGGCGGCCUGAUAAGUAGGGGGUGAAAUCCUGCGGCUUAACCGCAGGGCUGCCUUCUAAACUGUCAGGCUCGAGCACAGUAGAGGCAGGUGGAAUUCCCGGUGUAGCGGUGGAAUGCGUAGAGAUCGGGAAGAACAUCAGUGGCGAAGGCGAGUCUCUGGACAUUUCCUGACGCUGAGGCACGAAAGCCAGGGGAGCAAACGGG